rnacentral:rRNA from 1 species
ACUAUGGAGAGUUUGAUCCUGGCUCAGGAUGAACGCUGGCGGUAUGCUUAACACAUGCAAGUCGAACGGUCUCUUCGGAGAUAGUGGCGGACGGGUGAGUAACGCGUGAGAACAUGCCUUUAGAUUGGGGACAACAGUUGGAAACGACUGCUAAUACCGAAUGUGCCUUAGGGUGAAAGAUUUAUUGUCUAGAGAUUGGCUCGCGUCAGAUUAGCUAGUUGGAGUGGUAACGGCACACCAAGGCGACGAUCUGUACUUGGUCUGAGAGGAUGACCAGGCACACUGGAACUGAGACACGGUCCAGACUCCUACGGGAGGCAGCAGUGGGGAAUUUUCCGCAAUGGGCGAAAGCCUGACGGAGCAAUACCGCGUGAGGGAGGACGGCUUUUGGGUUGUAAACCUCUUUUAUCAGGGAAGAAUCGAUGACGGUACCUGAUGAAUCAGCAUCGGCUAACUCCGUGCCAGCAGCCGCGGUAAUACGGAGGAUGCAAGCGUUAUCCGGAAUUAUUGGGCGUAAAGCGUCCGUAGGUGGUUUAUCAAGUCUGCUGUCAAAGCGUGCGGCUUAACCGCAUAAGGGCAGUGGAAACUGAUGAACUAGAGUGCGAUAGGGGUAACAGGAAUUCCCAGUGUAGCGGUGAAAUGCGUAGAUAUUGGGAAGAACACCAGCGGCGAAAGCGUGUUACUGGGUCUGCACUGACACUGAGGGACGAAAGCUAGGGGAGCGAAAGGGAUUAGAUACCCCUGUAGUCCUAGCCGUAAACGAUGACAACUAGGCGUGGUUCGUAUCGACCCGAGCCGUGCCGUAGCCAACGCGUUAAGUUGUCCGCCUGGGGAGUACGCACGCAAGUGUGAAACUCAAAGGAAUUGACGGGGGCCCGCACAAGCGGUGGAGUAUGUGGUUUAAUUCGAUGCAACGCGAAGAACCUUACCAAGGCUUGACAUCCUCGGAACCCUGAUGAAAGUUAGGGGUGCCUUCGGGAGCCGAGAGACAGGUGGUGCAUGGCUGUCGUCAGCUCGUGUCGUGAGAUGUUGGGUUAAGUCCCGCAACGAGCGCAACCCACGUUUUUAGUUGCCAGCAUUCAGUUGGGCACUCUAGAGAGACUGCCGGUGACAAACCGGAGGAAGGUGUGGAUGACGUCAAGUCAGCAUGCCCCAUACGCCUUGGGCUACACACGUACUACAAUGCGUCGGACAAAGAGCAGCCAGCCAGCGAUGGUGAGCCAAUCUCAUAAACCGGCGCUCAGUUCAGAUUGCAGGCUGCAACUCGCCUGCAUGAAGGCGGAAUCGCUAGUAAUCGCAGGUCAGCAUACUGCGGUGAAUACGUUCCCGGGCCUUGUACACACCGCCCGUCACACCAUGGGAGUUGGUCACGCCCGAAGUCGUUACUCUAACUGCUUGCAGAGGAGGACGCCGAAGGUGGGGCUGAUGACUGGGGUGAAGUCGUAACAAGGUAGCCGUACCGGAAGGUGUGGCUGGAUCACCUCCUUA